rnacentral:rRNA from 2 species
UAGGGAAUCUUCCACAAUGGACGCAAGUCUGAUGGAGCAACGCCGCGUGAGUGAAGAAGGUCUUCGGAUCGUAAAACUCUGUUGUUAGAGAAGAACACGAGUGAGAGUAACUGUUCAUUCGAUGACGGUAUCUAACCAGCAAGUCACGGCUAACUACGUGCCAGCAGCCGCGGUAAUACGUAGGUGGCAAGCGUUGUCCGGAUUUAUUGGGCGUAAAGGGAACGCAGGCGGUCUUUUAAGUCUGAUGUGAAAGCCUUCGGCUUAACCGGAGUAGUGCAUUGGAAACUGGAAGACUUGAGUGCAGAAGAGGAGAGUGGAACUCCAUGUGUAGCGGUGAAAUGCGUAGAUAUAUGGAAGAACACCAGUGGCGAAAGCGGCUCUCUGGUCUGUAACUGACGCUGAGGUUCGAAAGCGUGGGUAGCAAACAGG